UCGAGGGGCAGCAUGACGAGAGCUUGCUCUUGUUGAUGGCGACCGGCGCACGGGUGCGUAACGCGUAUCCAACCUUCCCCCUGCCAGGGAACAGCCCGUUGAAAGACGGAUUAAUGCCCUAUGUUGUGCGAAGAUGGCAUCAGAUUUGCACGAAAGAUUUGAUCGGCAUGGGAUGGGGAUGCGUACGAUUAGGUAGUCGGCGGGGUAACGGCCCACCGAGCCGUCGAUCCUUAGGGGUUCUGAGAGGAAGGUCCCCCACACUGGUACUGAGACACGGACCAGACUCCUACGGGAGGCAGCAGUGAGGAAUAUUGGUCAAUGGGCGGAAGCCUGAACCAGCCAAGUAGCGUGCAGGAUGACGGCCCUAUGGGUUGUAAACUGCUUUUAUAGGGGGAUAAAGUGAGGUAUGCAUACCUUUUUGCAUGUACCCUAUGAAUAAGGACCGGCUAAUUCCGUGUCAGCAGCCGCGGUAAUACGGAAGGUCCGGGCGUUAUCCGGAUUUAUUGGGUUUAAAGGGAGC
rnacentral:rRNA from 1 species